ensembl:lncRNA
UAAAGAUUGAAAUAUUACACAUAAAAUUUUAACAAUUUGGCUAAAUAUUUUCACCAGUUUUAAAACUUUCAGCAAACCACCUUAAAUGUGAGGGUAUACUAUAAUCUAGAGUGAUGAAUCAUAAGCCUGCACAUCAGAUCAACUGAGGAUGCUUUUUUAAAGAAAAGUACAUAUUCAUAGACCUCCACUCAGAAAUUCUGAUUUUUUUUUAAUGCCUGAAAUAAAAACCAGGAAUCUAUAUUUUUUUAAAAGGUAUUUGAGAUGAUCCUGAUGUACAGACAGUAGACCUGGUGAGUUCCAGCAGUAGUUUGAAAACUUUAACCUGCAUUGGAAUAAGCUGGAGGGCUUGUUUAAACAGACUGCUGAGGCUUCAACCCUAGACGUUCUGAUUCAGGCAUCACAGAUCUUCAACUCUUACUUUGACACAUUAUAUCAGAACCAUUCUAAUGCCAAGGAGAUUAGGCAGCAUGACUGACUGGGAAACUGUUCUGACAGACACUGAAUAAUCCUUGGGAACUUCUACCAAGUGGAGCAUGGAUAUUUCUUUGUAAUAGGAAAAUAUGUAAGUCAAUAUAUGGAAAACAAUAUGCAAAACAAAAUAUGAUAU